rnacentral:rRNA from 1 species
CCUACGGGAGGCUGCAGUGAGGAAUAUUGGUCAAUGGACGAGAGUCUGAACCAGCCAAGUAGCGUGAAGGAUGACUGCCCUAUGGGUUGUAAACUUCUUUUAUAUGGGAAUAAAAUGUUCCACGUGUGGGCUUUUGUAUGUACCAUAUGAAUAGGGAUCGGCUAACUCCGUGCCAGCAGCCGCGGUAAUACGGAGGAUCCGAGCGUUAUCCGGAUUUAUUGGGUUUAAAGGGAGCGUAGGUGGAUUGUUAAGUCAGUUGUGAAAGUUUGCGGCUCAACCGUAAAAUUGCAGUUGAAACUGGCAGUCUUGAGUACAGUAGAGGUGGGCGGAAGUCGUGGUGUAGCGGUGAAAUGCUUAGAUAUCACGAAGAACUCCGAUUGCGAAGGCAGCUCACUGGACUGCAACUGACACUGAGGCUCGAAAGUGUGGGUAUCAAACAGGAUUAGAUACCCUUGUAGUC